rnacentral:rRNA from 1 species
UCAAGUGAAGAAGCGCAUACGGUGGAUGCCUUGGCAGUCAGAGGCGAUGAAAGACGUGGUAGCCUGCGAAAAGCUUCGGGGAGUCGGCAAACAGACUGUGAUCCGGAGAUAUCUGAAUGGGGGAACCCAGCCAUCAUAAGAUGGUUAUCUUGUACUGAAUACAUAGGUGCAAGAGGCGAACCAGGGGAACUGAAACAUCUAAGUACCCUGAGGAAAAGAAAUCAACCGAGAUUCCCUUAGUAGUGGCGAGCGAACGGGGACCAGCCCUUAAGUUGUAUUGAGAUUAGCGGAACGUUCUGGAAAGGACGGCCAUAGUGGGUGAUAGCCCUGUACGCGAAAAUCCCUUUGCAAUGAAAUCGAGUAGGACGGGGCACGAGAAACCUUGUCUGAAUAUGGGGGGACCAUCCUCCAAGGCUAAAUACUACUGACUGACCGAUAGUGAACCAGUACCGUGAGGGAAAGGCGAAAAGAACCGCGGAGAGCGGAGUGAAAUAGAUCCUGAAACCGUAUGCGUACAAGCAGUGGGAGCCCACUUUGUUGGGUGACUGCGUACCUUUUGUAUAAUGGGUCAGCGACUUAUUUUCAGUGGCGAGCUUAACCGAAUAGGGGAGGCGUAGCGAAAGCGAGUCUUAAUAGGGCGUCUAGUCGCUGGGAAUAGACCCGAAACCGGGCGAUCUAUCCAUGGGCAGGUUGAAGGUUGGGUAACACUAACUGGAGGACCGAACCGACUACCGUUGAAAAGUUAGCGGAUGACCUGUGGAUCGGAGUGAAAGGCUAAUCAAGCUCGGAGAUAGCUGGUUCUCCUCGAAAGCUAUUUAGGUAGCGCCUCAUGUAUCACUGUAGGGGGUAGAGCACUGUUUCGGCUAGGGGGUCAUCCCGACUUACCAAACCGAUGCAAACUCCGAAUACCUACAAGUGCCGAGCAUGGGAGACACACGGCGGGUGCUAACGUCCGUCGUGAAAAGGGAAACAACCCAGACCGUCAGCUAAGGUCCCAAAGUCAUGGUUAAGUGGGAAACGAUGUGGGAAGGCUUAGACAGCUAGGAGGUUGGCUUAGAAGCAGCCACCCUUUAAAGAAAGCGUAAUAGCUCACUAGUCGAGUCGGCCUGCGCGGAAGAUGUAACGGGGCUCAAACCAUGCACCGAAGCUACGGGUAUCAUCUUUUGAUGAUGCGGUAGAGGAGCGUUCUGUAAGCCUGUGAAGGUGAGUUGAGAAGCUUGCUGGAGGUAUCAGAAGUGCGAAUGCUGACAUGAGUAACGACAAUGGGUGUGAAAAACACCCACGCCGAAAGACCAAGGUUUCCUGCGCAACGUUAAUCGACGCAGGGUUAGUCGGUCCCUAAGGCGAGGCUGAAAAGCGUAGUCGAUGGAAAACAGGUUAAUAUUCCUGUACUUCUGGUUAUUGCGAUGGAGGGACGGAGAAGGCUAGGCCAGCCUGGCGUUGGUAGUCCAGGUUUAAGGUGGUAGGCUGAGAUCUUAGGUAAAUCCGGGAUCUUAAGGCCGAGAGCUGAUGACGAGUGUUCUUUUAGAACAUGAAGUGGUUGAUGCCAUGCUUCCAAGAAAAGCUUCUAAGCUUCAGGUAACCAGGAACCGUACCCCAAACCGACACAGGUGGUUGGGUAGAGAAUACCAAGGCGCUUGAGAGAACUCGGGUGAAGGAACUAGGCAAAAUGGCACCGUAACUUCGGGAGAAGGUGCGCCGGUGGAGGUGAAGCAUUUACUGCGUAAGCCCCUGCCGGUCGAAGAUACCAGGCCGCUGCGACUGUUUAUUAAAAACACAGCACUCUGCAAACACGAAAGUGGACGUAUAGGGUGUGACGCCUGCCCGGUGCCGGAAGGUUAAUUGAUGGGGUUAGCGCAAGCGAAGCUCUUGAUCGAAGCCCCGGUAAACGGCGGCCGUAACUAUAACGGUCCUAAGGUAGCGAAAUUCCUUGUCGGGUAAGUUCCGACCUGCACGAAUGGCGUAACGAUGGCGGCGCUGUCUCCACCCGAGACUCAGUGAAAUUGAAAUCGCUGUGAAGAUGCAGUGUAUCCGCGGCUAGACGGAAAGACCCCGUGAACCUUUACUAUAGCUUUGCACUGGACUUUGAAUUUGCUUGUGUAGGAUAGGUGGGAGGCUUUGAAGCGUGGACGCCAGUCUGCGUGGAGCCAACCUUGAAAUACCACCCUGGCAACUUUGAGGUUCUAACUCAGGUCCGUUAUCCGGAUCGAGGACAGUGUAUGGUGGGUAGUUUGACUGGGGCGGUCUCCUCCUAAAGAGUAACGGAGGAGUACGAAGGUGCGCUCAGACCGGUCGGAAAUCGGUCGUAGAGUAUAAAGGCAAAAGCGCGCUUGACUGCGAGACAGACACGUCGAGCAGGUACGAAAGUAGGUCUUAGUGAUCCGGUGGUUCUGUAUGGAAGGGCCAUCGCUCAACGGAUAAAAGGUACUCCGGGGAUAACAGGCUGAUACCGCCCAAGAGUUCAUAUCGACGGCGGUGUUUGGCACCUCGAUGUCGGCUCAUCACAUCCUGGGGCUGAAGCCGGUCCCAAGGGUAUGGCUGUUCGCCAUUUAAAGUGGUACGCGAGCUGGGUUUAGAACGUCGUGAGACAGUUCGGUCCCUAUCUGCCGUGGACGUUUGAGAUUUGAGAGGGGCUGCUCCUAGUACGAGAGGACCGGAGUGGACGAACCUCUGGUGUUCCGGUUGUCACGCCAGUGGCAUUGCCGGGUAGCUAUGUUCGGAAAAGAUAACCGCUGAAAGCAUCUAAGCGGGAAACUUGCCUCAAGAUGAGAUCUCACUGGAACCUUGAGUUCCCUAAAGGGCCGUCGAAGACUACGACGUUGAUAGGUUGGGUGUGUAAGCGCUGUGAGGCGUUGAGCUAACCAAUACUAAUUGCCCGUGAGGCUUGACCAU